CAUCAGCUCUAGAUCUCAGAAGCAAGCCGUGUAAUGAUGGCAGUUGGUGGCAAACAAUGCUUGCAUGGGGAGCUCCAGCAAUGCAGCCAAACAAGCAGAUGUCCACUGUAAACCGAGAAGACGGCCUUCACCAGACACAAGAUUAGCCAUCGCCUUGAUCUUGGACUUCUCAGCCUCUACAACGAAAUCUGUAUAAUAUCAGCCACAACCAAUAGCAGCCACAACCAGUGAUCACGGGCUCACAAUCCUUCUAGAGAAGAAAAGGUGGAAUUUGGGCAGUAUCACUACGGACUUCUGGGAAUUACAGGAAGAUUGCCUCACCCUGCAUGUGAGAGCAGUUAGAUACUUCAACACUAAAAGUAGGGAAGCUGCCUCGAAGAGAAAGUGGGUCAACUCAAGGCUAAGUUGUAAGAUGACAUGAGCCUAAGGUUCAAGGUCUCGUAAGGGAUCUCCCUUGUGUGAUGGAUGUAUCAGAGGUUGAACAAGUUAACAUGGGUCACAGUGGUAUAGUGGAAGAACACAAUUGACACUGAAAACAAAAUAUUUAUCCUGUCAGUCUCAGUUGGUUAUUUGUUCAGUGGUUGUUGAGCAGGUACCAUGUACUCGACACUGCUGAAUGCAGAGCACCUAAAGGCAAGAAAACGCAGUUUGAUCUUAAGGAUCCCACGAGGAAGGUAUGCCAAAGAGUUAUUCAGUUUCCUACUCUCCUCCCCAAAUCCAUCCACUCCCCUCCUUUGUCUGCCUACCUUCCUCACCCAGAAGUUGACCCUGGGCUCUGAAUCACCUUGCCUUGUGGCUUCUAGUUGGGCUUGGUCUAAAGGAGUCACCUUUAGGAAAUUCGAAGGUGGGAAAAAAGAGAGAUCGGGGCUUUUUUUCCUCUCCCUCAUGAGCUGGAAUGGGUUUUCUGAUGAUGCUGUCCCGCUACCCCCACCAUAACUACAGUUUCUAUAAGAUAACCCCUUCUGCUUGUCCUGAGCUCCCAAUGCUCAAUGCUUUCAUAAUACUCUUUGCUUCCUUUGCUGUUUUAUUCCUUUGAGUGUUAGUGGUAUCUCACUGUUGCCAAUCCCUGGGUCCUUAGCAUCCAUUUCUGGGUUCAUUAACCUUUCUCACAUCUUUGUAAAUAUAUUGUUAGGUUUCUUGGACCAUUUGAGUACUAUUCUCUGUCUGGCAAGACUCUGUUGUAGGAUAAGCCAUAUAUGAUAUAGGAGCAAAAUGAAGGCACACCAGGAGAGAGGGAUUCAGCAGUGACCUUUCAGAAAGAUUUUGGGGUUUUUUAGUACGUGCACUGAUGGGGGCCAUGCUGUUGAGAAAGAGUAUUUGAAGCAAGACAUUAAUAAUUUAACACUGGAUUAAGAGUGUGUUAGAUGAAGACUUAACAGAAUUCACCCUGACAUGUUGUAUUCAUUCAGAUUUUUACCAUUGUGUCUUUUCCUUUUUGCACCUUGGCUCAGCUAUCUUUCAGUUUGACAAAAUUGUUUCUACUUGGAAAUGCCCGUGAGCUCAUCUCACAUUAUUUACUUGUGAAGAAUAAUGAUGUGCUUAAGGGCAUGAUAGGCUUGUGGGCUGAACACCAGAGUUAUGCCUUAGGGGAAUAUUUUAGUAUUAAUAUGAUGUUCACUUUCUCAGAGUAUAAUAUCUUUAAGGCUCAUCCGCACUUCAUUAAAGACUAAAAAAUGGGGACUCAUGCUAAUGUAUGUAGCUGAUAGAGUUUUCUGUACAUUGUUCUUUUUUUUUUUUUUUUUGGCUGCUAUGACCUUUUUACCUUGAUCCAUUUGACAAGUAGGCUAAUUUAGCACGAAACAGUAGCAAGCAAGAUAAAGCUACUUCUUGCAAAUCUGAGGAAGAUGUGGACGUGUUGGAGGAAGCUAAAUAAACAUGAAUCUUUGACCUUCUCCUUUAACUAGUGCUCCAGUCCAGUGAGCUCAUUAUAGGGAAAUCUGUUAGCAACCUUCACAUGUUGGCAGAUGACUGGUACUGAACACAUGCUGCCAGCCCGACAGGGGAUCGGGAGAAGCCCAGCUCGUGCAUGACCCAUCACUGCUAAAUAGCAAAUCCCUGUAGUUACUUGCAUUACGUAAAACUGCUUGAUGCACAUUAAAGAGAACCUUUUGAACCCCACACUCAUUAUUAUUUUUUUCCCUUUCUUUCCAUUUUCUGACUUCUGUGGUGAGAUUGCCUUAAAGUCUUAUCAUAUGUGCUCAUAUUCUAGGCAGCUAAUGAAUAUGGAUGUUGUUUGUGCUAAUUUUUGCAGCUGUAAAAAGCUAGAUUUGGAAGAAAUGCCAGUUAUUAGCCUCAGGGAAACUUUCAGUAAAUAAUUCCACUUAUACCCUGUUGAGUUCAAAGGGACAUUAGAGUCUAGAGAAAUGAGCAGGUUGUGCCCUUUCCCCCACUGCGACAAGUCCCCUAAAAGAAAAAGAAAAAAAAAGAAAUUUAAGACAGGGAUUCCCUUUUCUCCUUUUGGAGAUUAAAAAUUAAUGUUUGCAGGCUAAAACAACUGCCAUUAUGGUUAAUGUAGUGGUUUUACAUUCAUAUCAAACAUUGGUUGUUUUCUGCCACAUUCUCCUGUUGCUUCCGUUAUCUUAGUGAACAAAGAUUAAUGCACACUUCACAAUAAACUCUAGUCUGCACUCUAUAACAAUUGCAUACAACCUAAAAUUAUAUAAGCAUAUAGUCCUUUGAAUAAAGGCUUAAGUGACGAGGUGGAAAGAACACUGGGUUACAGUUUUGACUCUGGUGUUAAUUCACUCCUUGACCUUGGACCAUUGUCUUUACCUCAUUUCAAGAGAUGGAGUUAGAUUAUAUGAUUUUUCAGUUUUAAUAUUCUGAUUCUGAUGUAGAGAUCAGCUAUCUAAAGGUGGGACUAAUCCCAGUUAUUAAUAAACAAACAUAGUCAAUGAUGAAAUUUACAGAUGAAUCUCUUUUUCUUGUUCCCAGUGGGACUUUAGCCACUUUGUAGAGAAAUGUUUCACAUCAAUCUGUUGUAUGUGAUUGGGCUGGAAGAGGGUCAAACUGAACUCCUGAGGACCCUGAGAUAUACAGUAUU